UGAAAUAAUUAUUUAUGCUCUCUUUCAGAAAGGUGACAAUGAUAAGGCAGAGAAGCUUCUCCGCCAAAUGAUUGCUAGAGGUCUAUUGUAAGAGUAAAACUAGAUGCAUGUGGAAAUGGAGUUUUCUAAGCAGUGUUACUUUGGUUAACUUCCUAAACUGGAUGUUGUCUGUUGGAACUCAAUGAUAGCAGGGUUCUCAAUCAAUUUUUUAGAACAAAAUGCUUUGUCUUUCUUUACGUAGAUGUGGCAGUUAGGGCUUCUUUCCUUCUAAGUUUUCUUUUGCUGCCAUAGUUAGUUCUUGUGCAAAACUGUCUUCUUUAUGUAAAGAACAAGAGAUUCAUGCUCAGAUCAUGAAAAUUGGUUAUUUACGUGA